CCUUAGGAGUAGUGAAAGGAUUUCUGGUUUGAUGUGAAGCAUUUUGAAGGUUGUAUCAAUACAUGAGACUUACUUCUUUAGAUGCUUCAGAAUGUUUGUGGGAUCAGGAUGACUCAAUAUUCGAGCUCAACACACCAUGAGGUGGUUUUUACCUUGUGAAAUGCCAUGUUACUACAUCCAUGUUAGAGGAUAUUUCAGUGGGAAGGUGAUCCAACUGAAAGGGGAACUUGAAAGAUCCAGAAUCUUUAGCACAACAGAAAGCUGGACAAGCAGACAGGAUAAACUAACAUUACCCCUGUUUGAAGACAAGAAGUUUCUUCAUUUUCUUCUAGUUCCUUUUGGACUCCUUUUCUCCUACCAUGAAAACUAGUGCUCCAGUUGGAAGAGGCAUCGACCCCAGCCUGCCGACCUGUGCUGAGAUCAACUGUCACAGCCAUGGGCAGUGUGUGGACCCCCCAGGGGGGGGCACUAAAAUAGUGUGUGAUUGUCAUCUGGGCUAUGAUGGGGAAUUCUGCGAGAAAACAGUGAACGGGGAUCUGAGCGUGCCGCUGACCGUGAGCAUAAUUGCCGUUAUCCUUGGGCUGUUGAUCCUUGCUUUCAUCGUCGCUAAGCUGCGGCAGAGACAGAAGAAGAACAGGAGAAAGCAGCUGGCUGCACAACACGGCUACAACAUAUCAGUUUAAUGUGGAUGAAUAUCAAAUAUAAGGUAAGCAAGUUAAUCAUGAUGUUUGCCAGGAUGUAUGUUUUCAUUUUGUAUGAAUGAUUAUUAGUAAGAUAAAUUAUCCACCAGUAGAGUAAUCAAAUGGGUCUUGCAUUGUACAAAGGUGCUAUGAAAUAUUAAAAAUACUUUCAUCAUGUGUCACCAGAACGUAUUGAAACAAACUUAAAUUAUAAACUGCUCAUUUUUCCAAAUAUAAAUCAAAAAAUAAAUAAAUUUUUUUCAGUUUUGUUUGGAGAGUUAACCCCUAAAUUGUCAUAUUCAUGCUAAAAAAAAACUCACAAAAAUAAAUAUAUAAUUGAACUGAAAUAUGAACUGGUGAAAUAGUACUAGAAAGUUGAUGAAAACAAAUCUAAAAUCCAUUCAUCCAUCCAUUUUCCAUCAAGCGUAUCCCAGCUGGGGUCGCGAGGAGAGCUGGUGCCUAUCUCCAGCUGUCAAUGGAUGAGAAGCAGAGUAAACCCUGGAAAGGUCACACAGAGAUAAACAGGACAAAUAACCAUUCACGCACACACUCACACCUAAGGAGAAUUUAGAGAAGCCAAUAAACCUAACAGUCAUGUUUUUGGAUUGUGGGAGGAAGCCGGAGUACCCGGAGAGAACCCACACAUGCACAGGGAGAACAUCCAGACUCCUUCCCAGGCCAUGAAUCGAACCCCAGAACCUUCUUGCUGUAAGGGAGGAGCACUACCCAAUGUACAACCCCAAAUCUAAAAUCUUACAAUUUAAAUCAUAAAGAAAAAUAAUAUUUUGAAAGAAAACUAAGUGUUUUUCUUAAUGGUCAGAAAAGAAAAUACGACAAAAUGGGGCUACAACAAAAAAAAAGCCAAAUAAAUAGUGAAAACCUUACAAAUUGUUAAUAAAAACAUAAAAGUGAAAAAAAUAAAUGACAAACACCCCAACACAUACCACAUUUUUUGAAAGAAACAAACUUGGAUAGCUACAUUCUAUAAUAGAAAUGAAGCUCCAACUUAAAUAAAUUGAUUCAAUUGCUAGCAAGUCAUUGAAUUCAGUUUUUCCUGCUUAAUUUAUUAUUUUUAUAAGUUUAUAAAUUAAGCUGGAACAACCUAAUUUAUUAGCCAGUUGAAGAUUGUAAGAAAUAGAUUUUAUUAAUCAUUUCA